GUGUGGCGCCUGUUUAAAAUGAAUGUCAGAUGCAAUACACAUCCCUACCAACAUUCAUUUACUUCGCGGUAUUAGUAACUUCUACGAUUGUCAUUACUGGCAACCGCGAGGAAAAUGUAAAUAUAACUUCAUUAGCCUAUUUACCAAGUUGUUAAUUAAGUUGCACGGGACUACUUUCCAAUAUUUAUUUCUUCACAGAAGAAGGUCGUAUUCACUCAGAUUCGGGACAGAUAGCAAUGAUUUGUGCUCGUCUGCUGCUGGAGAAUGCGAAGACAUUACUUCAAUAAUAAGGAAUCUGGGUACUUCGAUACACAAAAUCGAGCUCUGUCGAGUCCUAGUUCUGCCUUUAUGCUGUUGGAUUUGGUCAAGGACAACUUCAUAAACGUUUUGCAGACGAUUGUGAUCGGUGGUUCGAUCAAUCGGAUUAAGCCUCACUUAAUUCCGCCUGGGUUUUGUCAGCUUCGUGAUAUCUCCCGAAUGUGUUUGGCUGAGAAGUAAUUACACGCUGGUCCUGGGAGAUGAUAAUGCCAUGGAUCAGACCCAAUCGAUGCAGGAUCAGAUGUCGAUAGUUUAGAUAGUUCAAUAAAUGAAUAAAGAUACAUACAAAAGCUCAAUAAGUUCAUAACAAUAUAUGCAUAAAGGUUGGGUUAACAUAACAUGUUUAGGGUAUAUGUUGAACCAACGUUGAACCGACUGCUUAUACUGGGUUGUAC